rnacentral:lncRNA from 1 species
GCCAGACUCAGUUACCGGAUUCACCUCUGUCUCCCCAGCCAUCGGCAAAGUACCUGGUCCUGCCUGGUACUCAGCAAGUAUUUGUUGACCCAACUGAACUUCCCUGGGGCCAGCUCUGGCAGGAAACCAAGGACCCAGCCUGAUAAGGAGAUAGAGGCUCAGAGAGGUGACUUGAGUUGUCCAAGGUCAUACUGCAAGCAAAUGGCAGAGCUGGGCUUUGAAUCAGGCACUUCGGCUCUGAAGGUUUCUCUUCCACUACCACCUGGCUUGGUAUAGAGGCCUGGCUUAGAAGAAGCUGACUCAUGUGAGUCAGACAGCACUCUGAACUGGGCCCCCACUUUGUGCAGAACUCUAGCUGAGGCUUCUCAGGGGCAAGAAGAACACAACUCCCUCGGCCCCAGCCCCAGGGAACCUGCUGCCGUGGCUCAGGAAACAGACACAAGGCCAGCCUCUCUCCAUGUGGCCACUCCAGCAGAGAAGCUUGACUUCUUACCUGGAAUCUCAGGGCUCCGAAGGAGCUGCAAGGCCUUAACAAUGAGGCUGGAAAGAAAGAAUACCAGUCCCUGUCUCAUGGGGCAGUUCAGAGGAUGCAGAGACAGAACGUAUGCGCAGCACACAUCCCAGGGCCUCGCUACUGUUGCCAUCAGCUCGCUCUGCUGCUGCCGUGUCUAAAACACCAGUUUCAGCCUCCCUACCUAAACAAGUGAUGAAG